CUAGCACAACAGAAAUAUAAAAUCGUGGAAGUUGGUGGUGACCACUGUCCACAUCGUGGUUGUUCUUCUUAUCUGCUGCAUCAAUGCCCUUGAUCGGCCCGCACUCAGCCCUUUCUUCUUUCACCUCAUGUGAGCCACAUGUGAUUGAGGAAAGGAUAAAAAUCCACAUUCACACGACGCGUGAGUCACACUGGCGUCGCCUCCUCCUACUUUUCUGAUAAAUGAAUAGGUGUGACCUCAACCACCGCUGACUGCUGAUAGCAACCAUCUCAGGUUUACCUGCAACGAAAUCGAUGGCGAAUUUAAGCCCUAGGUUCUUGUUCAGCAACGGCGUCGUUUCACAGCCCGCCAACACUCCUCCGAUCACAAGCUUCCUCGCAACGCACCCACCCAGGUGGGUUCAAGGCUAAAAUUCAUAGGUUUGUUCAGUACUUGAACCUUUUUGGAGUUGCUAUUGGCCAUGGGUAAGUGUGAGUGUUUAAACCUGGGUAAGAACUUGGUGAUGGUGUUUGAUUGUAUGUAAUUCAGUGAUUUAAAUUAUGCUUUUGGCUAAUGGUUUUUUUUUCUUCUUUUCUUUUGGAUGUAGAUUGUGAUUAAAUAGGGAAAUAAAGAGGUCUAACUGUUUCUACAAGAAUGGUGGCACAACACCAUGCCAUGUAAACAGCAACCCUUAUAUGAUGGCUUUUGGCAUGGCAAAUUAUCUUCUCUAAUAUUCCAAACUUUCAGUUAUGGUGGCUCUCCGUUGUUGCUGCAGUCAUGUCCUUCACUUUACUCCUCAAUUGCCAAAGUUGCAGAAAUUGGAAGUAUCAAGGGAAGUAUGACUUGGAUAUGCAUUGGAACUGUGACACAAAUCCAAAAGAUUUGUAGGAGCUUCCAAGCGCUUGGUGACAAACCUUUUGCCUACUCUUACUCUCUGAAACUCAGAGCUGGUGCUUUCUUAGCUCUAGGAUAUGAAUACCAUUAUUAUUAACAUUGCUAUAACAUUUGUGCAAUUGCAUACAAUGUUUGUGCAAUUGCAUACAGUUUAUGCAAUUUUUGACCCCUUGUAUGCAAUCACCGAUAAUGUGUAUGUUUAAAGCAAUUUUUGACCCCUAUAUGCAAUUACCGAUAAUGUGGAUGUUUAAAGAAGCGGUCAACUCUAAUGCUAGAGUAAUCUCUCUCCUCUGUGAGAGUUUCCUCUUU